rnacentral:rRNA from 1 species
AUUGAACGCUGGCGGCAUGCCUUACACAUGCAAGUCGAACGGCAGCACGGGAGCAAUCCUGGUGGCGAGUGGCGAACGGGUGAGUAAAGUAUCGGAACGUGCCCAGUCGUGGGGGAUAACGUAGCGAAAGUUACGCUAAUACCGCAUACGAUCUAUGGAUGAAAGCGGGGGAUCGCAAGACCUCGCGCGAUUGGAGCGGCCGAUAUCAGAUUAGGUAGUUGGUGGGGGAAAGGCUCACCAAGCCGACGAUCUGUAGCUGGUCUGAGAGGACGACCAGCCACACUGGGACUGAGACACGGCCCAGACUCCUACGGGAGGCAGCAGUGGGGAAUUUUGGACAAUGGGCGCAAGCCUGAUCCAGCCAUGCCGCGUGCAGGAUGAAGGCCUUCGGGUUGUAAACUGCUUUUGUACGGAACGAAAAGGUUUGACUUAAUACGUUGGACUCAUGACGGUACCGUAAGAAUAAGCACCGGCUAACUACGUGCCAGCCGCCGCCGCUG